UCACCGGGAGUUAUUGCUUGAUC
rnacentral:miRNA from 1 species